rnacentral:lncRNA from 1 species
GUAGGUAUAGUCCAACUGAAGGGGGCAUUUUUCUUCUUUUUGAUGUAUACUAUAAAUAGGUUUCUAAAGCGGCAAUUACAUGUAUAACAGUGGUUGCCAAUCAGGGAUUUUUAUUAAAGAGUUUAAAAAAUAGUGUAGGAUUCCUUUAACGGCAUGUAUAUACAUUAUACAAGCUUGUUUUCCACUAGCAUAUACCCCGCGGUAUGAAGAACUCGUGACGAGGGUUUCAUAUGAAAUAAAAUUUAAAAAAUAAAAUCCUCCCAACCGC